rnacentral:rRNA from 1 species
GUGCCAGCAGCCGCGGUAAUACGUAGGUGGCAAGCGUUGUCCGGAUUUAUUGGGCGUAAAGCGAGCGCAGGCGGUUUCUUAAGUCUGAUGUGAAAGCCUUCGGCUCAACCGAAGAAGUGCAUCGGAAACUGGGAAACUUGAGUGCAGAAGAGGACAGUGGAACUCCAUGUGUAGCGGUGAAAUGCGUAGAUAUAUGGAAGAACACCAGUGGCGAAGGCGGCUGUCUGGUCUGUAACUGACGCUGAGGCUCGAAAGCAUGGGUAGCAAACAGGAUUAGAUACCCUGGUAGUCCAUGCCGUAAACGAUGAGUGCUAGGUGUUGGAGGGUUUCCGCCCUUCAGUGCCGCAGCUAACGCAUUAAGCACUCCGCCUGGGGAGUACGACCGCAAGGUUGAAACUCAAAGGAAUUGACGGGGGCCCGCACAAGCGGUGGAGCAUGUGGUUUAAUUCGAAGCAACGCGAAGAACCUUACCAGGUCUUGACAUCCUUUGACCACUCUAGAGAUAGAGCUUUCCCUUCGGGGACAAAGUGACAGGUGGUGCAUGGUUGUCGUCAGCUCGUGUCGUGAGAUGUUGGGUUAAGUCCCGCAACGAGCGCAACCCUUAUUACUAGUUGCCAGCAUUUAGUUGGGCACUCUAGUGAGACUGCCGGUGACAAACCGGAGGAAGGUGGGGACGACGUCAAAUCAUCAUGCCCCUUAUGACCUGGGCUACACACGUGCUACAAUGGAUGGUACAACGAGUUGCGAGACCGCGAGGUUUAGCUAAUCUCUUAAAACCAUUCUCAGUUCGGAUUGUAGGCUGCAACUCGCCUACAUGAAGCCGGAAUCGCUAGUAAUCGCGGAUCAGCAUGCCGCGGUGAAUACGUUCCCGGGCCUUGCACACACCGCCCGU